rnacentral:rRNA from 1 species
AGUGAACGCUGGCGGUAGGUCUAACACAUGCAAGUCGAACGGCAGCACAGUAAGAGCUUGCUCUUACGGGUGGCGAGUGGCGGACGGGUGAGGAAUACAUCGGAAUCUACUUUUUCGUGGGGGAUAACGUAGGGAAACUUACGCUAAUACCGCAUACGACCUACGGGUGAAAGCAGGGGAUCUUCGGACCUUGCGCGAUUGAAUGAGCCGAUGUCGGAUUAGCUAGUUGGCGGGGUAAAGGCCCACCAAGGCGACGAUCCGUAGCUGGUCUGAGAGGAUGAUCAGCCACACUGGAACUGAGACACGGUCCGGACUCCUACGGGAGGCAGCAGUGGGGAAUAUUGGACAAUGGGCGCAAGCCUGAUCCAGCCAUACCGCGUGGGUGAAGAAGGCCUUCGGGUUGUAAAGCCCUUUUGUUGGGAAAGAAAAGCAGCAGGUUAAUACCCCGCUGUUCUGACGGUACCCAAAGAAUAAGCACCGGCUAACUUCGUG